rnacentral:rRNA from 1 species
AAUUUUGUACAAUGGGGACAACCCUGAUCCAGCCAUCCCGCGUGUGCGAUGAAGGACUUCGGGUUGUACUGCACUUUUGGCAGGGAAGAAAACGCUCUGGAUAAUACCUGGCGCCGCUGACGAUACCUGCAGAAUAAGCGCCGGCUAACUACGUGCCAGCAGCCGCGGUAAUACGUAGGGUGCAAGCGUUAAUCGGAAUUACUGGGCGUAAAGCGUGCGCAGGCGGUUCGGAAAGAAAGAUGUGAAAUCCCAGGGCUUAACCUUGGAACUGCAUUUUUAACUGCCGGGCUAGAGUAUGUCAGAGGGGGGUAGAAUUCCACGUGUAGCAGUGAAAUGCGUAGAGAUGUGGAGGAAUACCGAUGGCGAAGGCAGCCCCCUGGGAUAAUACUGACGCUCAGACACGAAAGCGUGGGGAGCAAACAG